UACAGAGGUCCCAAGCGUUGUUCGGAUUUACUGGGCGUAAAGGGCGCGUAGGCGGUUGGGUAAGUCUGAUGUGAAAUCUCCGGGCUUAACCCGGAAAUGGCAUUGAAUACUAUUCGGCUAGAGGUUUGGAGGGGGGACUGGAAUUCUUGGUGUAGCAGUGAAAUGCGUAGAUAUCAAGAGGAACACCGAUGGCGAAGGCAAUCCCCUUGGCCUGUACUGACGCUCAUGCACGAAAGCGUGGGGAGCAAACAGG
rnacentral:rRNA from 1 species